rnacentral:rRNA from 1 species
GAUGAACGCUGGCGGCAUGCUUUACACAUGCAAGUCGAACGGCAGCACAGGGAGCUUGCUCCCGGGUGGCGAGUGGCGCACGGGUGAGUAAUACAUCGGAACGUGUCCUGUUGUGGGGGAUAACUGCUCGAAAGGGUGGCUAAUACCGCAUGAGACCUGAGGGUGAAAGCGGGGGAUCGCAAGACCUCGCGCAAUUGGAGCGGCCGAUGCCCGAUUAGCUAGUUGGUGAGGUAAAGGCUCACCAAGGCGACGAUCGGUAGCUGGUCUGAGAGGACGACCAGCCACACUGGGACUGAGACACGGCCCAGACUCCUACGGGAGGCAGCAGUGGGGAAUUUUGGACAAUGGGGGCAACCCUGAUCCAGCCAUGCCGCGUGCAGGAUGAAGGCCUUCGGGUUGUAAACUGCUUUGUCAGGGACGAAAAGGAAUCGUGAUAAUACCAAUGGUCUGCUGACGGUACCUGAAGAAUAAG